rnacentral:rRNA from 1 species
GUGCGUAACGCGUAUGCAACCUACCUUUCACAGGGGGAUAGCCSGAAGAAAUUUGGAUUAAUACCCCAUAAUAUUAUUGGAUGGCAUCAUUUYAYAAUUAAAACURMGGUGGUGAAAGAUGGGCAUGCGUCCUAUUAGCUAGUUGGAGUGGUAACGGCACCCCAAGGCUACGAUAGGUAGGGGUCCUGAGAGGGAGAUCCCCCACACUGGUACUGAGACAGGGACCAGACUCCUACGGGAGGCAGCAGUGAGGAAUAUUGGUCAAUGGUCGGAAGACUGAACCAGCCAUGCCGCGUGCAGGAAGAAUGCCUUAUGGGUUGUAAACUGCU